AACCGCCUACGGGGCGCAGCAGUGAGGAAUAUUGGUCAAUGGGAGGAAUCCUGAACCAGCCGUGCCGCGUGCAGGACGACGGCUCUACGAGUUGUAAACUGCUUUUGUACCGGGGUAAAAUGCUCUACGAGUAGGGUUUUGAAAGUACGGUACGAAUAAGGAUCGGCUAACUCCAUGCCAGCAGCCGCGGUAAUACGGAGGAUCCGAGCGUUAUCCGGAUUCAUUGGGUUUAAAGGGUGCGUAGGUUGUUUUAUAAGUUAGCGGUGAAAUACCGAUGCUCAACAUCGGGGCUGCCGCUAAUACUG
rnacentral:rRNA from 1 species